ACGUCCUUCAAAAAUAUUUGAUAAAAUUAGAAUAUUACACAGAAAAUUAGCGUUCCCCUUGUGCAGGGAUAACACACAAAUCACAAAAUGGUCCAAGUUUUUU